UCAAAGGAAUUGACGGGGGCCCGCACAAGCGGUGGAGCAUGUGGUUUAAUUCGAAGCAACGCGAAGAACCUUACCAGGUCUUGACAUCCUCUGACAAUCCUAGAGAUAGGACGUCCCCGUCGGGGGCAGAGUGACAGGUGGUGCAUGGUUGUCGUCAGCUCGUGUCGUGAGAUGUUGGGUUAAGUCCCGCAACGAGCGCAACCCUUGAUCUUAGUUGCCAGCAUUCAGUUGGGCACUCUAAGGUGACUGCCGGUGACAAACCGGAGGAAGGUGGGGAUGACGUCAAAUCAUCAUGCCCCUUAUGACCUGGGCU
rnacentral:rRNA from 1 species